GGUCUUAUAUUCAACAAUGAUUCUAGACUGCAAUUCUAGAGGUGUAUUUAUUUACUAAGGCCU
rnacentral:tRNA from 1 species